GUGAGCGACCCAAGGAGGAAAAGGAAGAUGAGACUGGAGAAAAGCUGCAUGAGAAAAAUAAAAAGUCUGGGAAAACGACACGCCUGGCUCUGUGACGUGAUAUCCGUGGAACGGAUGUUGCUAACCUUCCAGGAGGUUCCUGCUGCUAAUGGCUGAUUGGACAAUAUCUGCAUGGCUAAUGGCUGAUUGGACAAUAUCUGCAUGGCUAAUGGCACUUCUGACAUGUUCUCACUGGAGACGCCUCAUGUACAUUGGAAAUUCCAGCCGCGGCGCUCGAGGGGGUCUUAGCGGUGGGGUCCAUGCAGAGAAAACGGGGCAUGCGUCAACCAUGGUGUGUUAGCCAAGACAGCAGAGGAGGAAACACUCAUCUCAGAAUGCAAGGACGACUCAUCAGACGACGGUGAGACAAGAAUGGAAAAAAUCGCCACGACCACAAAAAUACUCACGAGUAGAGAAGAACGGCAAACAAGUUUUGAGUCUUCUUUUAAAUAUCUUUUGAAAUCUCUAUGUGUGGCCCUUAUGGAUACAACGUCUACGUGGGGUUUUUUUUUUCUUCGUUUUUGUUCUUUUCUUCUGGCCGCACUCAAGGGUCCUAUGGUAUUUUUUUUUCAACAGUUAUGGUCGGACCGUUGAGCAGCAGGAAAGCAGGCACACCGAUUGGCUGUUUGUGUUCCCACCUCAGUGGAUGAUGCGAAACGACACAAAAAAUGUCUCAUGCUUGGAUCCCGUCGGGCUUCCGGAUCGUCCGUCUCCCAAACUCGGUCCCUUUUUGUUGCCUUUACGGAGCUCGAGGACCACUUCCUCUUUUCAUCCCAAGCAUCCAACGUAGUUUAUUUUUUUCUUCAGAUGGCGUGAUUGCUGUAGCUGACGUACGUCGUCUUAGUGGAUGAAGCUGCGCGACAAGAAAA